UUUAAGUGGGAACAUAAGUUUCUGCGUCCAACUUUUACCAUCCGUUUUAUUUGAAAAAAAAUUAUAAUUAGUAUUUUUGUUGUUAUGAGAUGAUAAAACAUGAAUAGUAAUUUACUCGUGACUUAUGUUUUAAAAUUUUUUUCAAAAACUUUUCAAAUAAGAUGAACGGCCAAAGUUGAAUGUGAAAAACCAUGGCUGCAUUUAAA
rfam:Oryza glumipatula chromosome 4, whole genome shotgun sequence.